AUUUAAAUAGUUUAACUUAAAAUAUUGACUUGUGGAGUCAAGGAUGUACAUUUGUAUUUUAAAUA
rnacentral:tRNA from 1 species